rnacentral:rRNA from 1 species
UACGGAGGGUGCAAGCGUUAUCCGGAAUGAUUGGGCGUAAAGCGUCCGCAGGCGGCCAUGUAAGUCUGCUGUCAAAGCGUCUGGCUCAACCAGAUAAAGGCAGUGGAAACUACAUAGCUAGAGUAAGGUAGGGGUAGAGGGAAUUCCUGGUGUAGCGGUGAAAUGCGUAGAGAUCAGGAAGAACACCGGUGGCGAAAGCGCUCUGCUGGACCUUAACUGACACUGAGGGACGAAAGCUAGGGGAGCGAAUGGG